rnacentral:rRNA from 1 species
GAUGAACGCUGGCGGCGUGCCUAAUACAUGCAAGUCGAGCGAACAGACGAGGAGCUUGCUCCUCUGGCGUUAGCGGCGGACGGGUGAGUAACACGUGGAUAACCUACCUAUAAGACUGGGAUAACUUCGGGAAACCGGAGCUAAUACCGGAUAAUAUAUUGAACCGCAUGGUUCAAUAGUGAAAGACGGUUUUGCUGUCACUUAUAGAUGGAUCCGCGCCGCAUUAGCUAGUUGGUAAGGUAACGGCUUACCAAGGCAACGAUGCGUAGCCGACCUGAGAGGGUGAUCGGCCACACUGGAACUGAGACACGGUCCAGACUCCUACGGGAGGCAGCAGUAGGGAAUCUUCCGCAAUGGGCGAAAGCUUGACGGAGCAACGCCGCGUGGGUGAGGAAGGUCUUCGGAUCGUAAAACGCUGUUAUUAGGGAAGAACAAAUGUGUAAGUAACGAUGCACGUCUGGACGGUACCUAAUCAGAAAGCCACGGCUAACUACGU